rnacentral:rRNA from 1 species
AUUGAACGCUGGCGGCAGGCCUAACACACGCAAGUCGAGCGGAUGAAGGGAGCUUGCUCCUGGAUUCAGCGGCGGACGGGUGAGUAAUGCCUAGGAAUCUGCCUGGUAGUGGGGGAUAACGUCCGGAAACGGGCGCUAAUACCGCAUACGUCCUGAGGGAGAAAGUGGGGGAUCUUCGGACCUCACGCUAUCAGAUGAGCCUAGGUCGGAUUAGCUAGUUGGUAGGGUAAAGGCCUACCAAGGCGACGAUCCGUAACUGGUCUGAGAGGAUGAUCAGUCACACUGGAACUGAGACACGGUCCAGACUCCUACGGGAGGCAGCAGUGGGGAAUAUUGGACAAUGGGCGAAAGCCUGAUCCAGCCAUGCCGCGUGUGUGAAGAAGGUCUUCGGAUUGUAAAGCACUUUAAGUUGGGAGGAAGGGCAGUAAGUUAAUACCUUGCUGUUUUGACGUUACCAACAGAAUAAGCACCGGCUAACUUCGUG